CGUGGCUGCUGCGUUAAUAUGCACCGUAGAAAGGGAGCAGGGGAUACCUCUUGCCCGCGGAGCGAAAGUAACCACGACAGCGUCAGUGUGAGGGGACGGGUUCCUUCACCCCCCCCAUCUCCCCCAACCCCUCGUCUCUCUCUGUCUCUCUCUCUGACAGCGUCCAGCUUUGGCGCUCUGCUCAGUUAGUUAGAGAUACACGCUGAGCCACUGGAGCGCAAGGAAAGAUAUGUUGGCUACAGCAGGCAGGGGCUUCCACCACUUCAGCAACGGUGCUUUUUUCAAUUUUUUGUUUCAGCAUGAAACAUUUAAAAGCCAGGACAUCAGAUAAAUAUGUUUUACAUUGCUGAGCAGUAUAAAAGUUUCAUAGAGAUGAGCCUUUAUCAAGGCUUGACAAGGGGUUAUUGGCACAAGAGGCUAGACUGAAAUCGCUUUUUUUUUUUUAAGCUUUGCGGAAUACAUUUUUAAAAAAAAGGUUGAAAUGGCCACAUAAAACCUGCCCAUCAACUGACUUCAUUCUUCAACCGGACAGCGUCCUUCCUCACAGACGAGAAGAAGAAGAAGACAAGGGGAAGCAGAGGUGAGACGUCAACAAAGCAGAGAAAGAAGACGAGCCGAGAGGAGGUGGGCAGCACAGUUUUCAGCUCUUACGAGACUGAGGAGGAGAAAGUGACGGCAGCUAGAACUUGGCCACUAGUGAGAUGAAAUUUGGGGAGGAGACGCUGGAGCGCUGCAGGGUACGACAUCCACACAGAGCCCUAAAAGUGGACCGCCUGGAAGACGAGCCCUCCCUCUCUGGAUCCUGUGCCCCUCCACAGCCGAAGGAUGAGAGGGGUCGACUUUCACCUUAGUUGCCGGGGAUGUCUGUGCACCACAGGAAGACGCCAGCCUCCAGCAUGUUAAAUGUUAUGCUACUCCUGAUGCUUUGCAAGAUUAGUCUGAGACGAAAACUGCAGUCUUUUCCCGGGGAAAAUGGUAAACACUCUCCACACUGAUGAGGAAAAGGGAAUCCAAGACAAGGAAAGUAAGGAGGAGAGCAUCUUGGCCAUGCUGGGGAUCAUUGGAACCAUUCUCAACUUGGUUGUCAUCAUCUUUGUCUACAUCUACACCACCCUGUAGGUCUCUAUCUCCUGCUGUACUUCAUCAGCGGGCAGAUGAGAGAUCAUCUGUGUCAAUGCGAUGGCCAUAUUGCAUCCAUCCUGCAUCCCUUUAAACAACUUAGUCGAUGGGAAACGGACUCGUUCCUUUUGCCUUUACUGGUGAAAUAGUCCAACAUGCCGUGAGACAUUUAACUUGUACAUAAAUGCCCGACGAUACCGCUUUUCUCAACCACAUGGACAUCAAGGAUUGCAGAGGGUGGACGUGAAAAUAUGUAUCAGAUGUUUUAUUGACUGAAGUGUUGAAAGUACCUAAUAUGCUUCCAUGUGAUGGAAUAUAAGGAUGUAUAGAGAAGGUAGGUUUUUGCAAUGAUAUAUAUUCAUUUUCCUCAAAGAUUUUCACAGUAUAUGACAACAUACAUCGGUUUCUAUGAGGAUUAAGUAAAUUAAAGAAAAUAGAUAUUCAAAUUGUUAUUGAGGUUGAAUUUUGUUUUUGUACUGUAUUCCUCACUGUUUGGAGUAAAAAAAUGAUUUUGGAUGGUGUUUUAUUUCCUACAAUUGUCCUACAAAAGUUGUAUAUUGUGCAUUUACUAAAACAAACUUUGUCAAUGGCAUGAAGUCAGUUUUCAAAUGUUAGGAAUUCAGACAGAUCAGUACAAACUGUCUCAAUAAUUUAUAAUACUUAAGUUUAUGACGCAUCACUUGAGGGUCACCGACACUUUCUCACCGAGAGAAGAUUAAUUAAUUUGUGGGAAAAUAAUGUUAUUAUUUGUCGAAGUCGAGGCUGAAGAUCACCAUCGUUGUUCUUGGGGGUAAACAUCUUCAGACGUUUUCACAAAGAUCAUUUCCUCACGUAUGGGUCUAUCAGACGCUGGCAUGUUUCAGCUCGUACCAACUGAAUCAGGUUGGGUCAUGGGAGCGUCUCAAAUUAUAUUCACUUGCUGUUUUUCCUUCAUUCUUGAACAAGAAGCCUGCAAAAUGAUCUGCAUGUAAGUCUUUUUCUGUUUGCUCUCAUUUAUAGAUUAAUUUGACAAUAAUGCAUCAAAGGAAUCGUUCCACAUUUUGGGCAAUAAUCUGGUCUCCUGCCAACCUCUCAGUGAAGAGAAGACUCUUGGAAGUCUUUGUGGUCAGCCGAGAAGUAGUCUGGCGCAGAACUUUGUAAAACCAAAACCUGUUUUUAUUGUGUAAAAAAUAUACUCCCGUUUAUUCCUCAAUAAUUGACUACUGUUUGAGAUGUGACAACGUGAUUUCAUUUUCCCCAUUUCCAGUCAUUAUGCUAAGAUGCUCUUCUCCUAGCUGCGAAUUCGAAUUUAACGGACAAGUGUGAGAGCGAUAUCAAUCUUUUAUGUAACUCUCAUUGAGGAAGCGAAUAAGAGUAUUUCCCAAAAUGAAAAACUUUUACUGAAAAAAUGUAUCUAUAAGAGAAGAGAAAACGCCUUUAAAUAAUGAUGUACAGUAUUUAGCGGAUGUCAUGCUUUAGAAAAGAACAGUUACAUGUGUUUGCAAGACGACCACCUCAUGAUUUCAGAAAGUGCCUGAGAUCAAAGUGUCUCAACCUCAUCAGUUAAAAGGUCAAGAAAAUAAAAAUAGAAAAAACAGUGAGAGUAUCUUUAUAAAGCCACGAGUCCCACAGGAUAGUGGAAGAAGAAUGAUGGGACUGGAUUUCUGUUUCAUGGCUUAAUAAAGUCAAUUAGCUUGGGUGAACAAACUUAAGCACAUGGACAAGUCGUAUGAAUGUAUUAUCCCUUAUUCUUUACUCAUCUUUCUUAAAGCUAUGUACCUCUAUUUGUUAUGUUUUGUUCAUGUGUAUGCUAAAUCUAUUUAAACCUAUUGAUUUGUCACUUGUGGGUGACAAAUUGGGUAAACGUUUGUCAGGCUGCGGUUCGGUUAAAAAACAUUAAAUGAAUACAAGAUGAAACGGAUAUAUUUGGAUGUUCUGUCUUGGUUUGUAUCAUACCAUAUUAAUGGUAAUAUAUUGAAUUACGCCUUUGGUGCACAUAAGCUACAUUCAUUAAUGCUACGCAUAUACACAUUUUGAAAAAACUUUCAGCUUCAUGACUUCUGGAACAAAAUACUUUUACAGAAGUGAAACGCUUCUAGCACGAAUAAAAUAAUCUUUGAAAAUCUAUAUUGUCCUGUAUCUGACAGCUGCGUGCGAUUAGAACAGAGCCUGGAAGAAGAAGAGGGAGUAAGAAGCCUCACUGAAAGAGGCUACAGCGUUACAUCCUGUCAGACAUAUUUCUGUCUCGCAGGAAUAAUCCGAAGAAGGGAGAAAAAAAGAGCAGCACCAAGACACAGAAACCAAAUCACUCUAAACAAAUGUAUUUUUAUUCCAUCUCCUUUUGCUUUUUAAUCAUGUGUGUCAGGAUAAUUUCCCACUCCAUUACGAGUGCUUUGUGACUGGUAACAUACUGGAACAAUCCUGUUGAAGGGGAAAAAACUGGACUGAAAACAUCUUGCUGUCACUUUUUCUUUAAAUAGGCGAUGAACCAAGAAAAAAAAAAACAGCCUUUGUCUAAAGAACCCCAGCUGCUUAAAUUCACACGUACCCAAAGCCUGCUUUAAGCUAUUGUUUCACCUGCCUCCAGCAGCCAGGCAGCCUUGGAAAUCAUUGCCUCUGCUGAAGCUGAAACACGCUUGGUGAACAAUGCGCAGGAGAUCGUGGUGCAUCACAGAUGGACGGUUCAGAAAAGCUGUGAGGCCGAUUAAUCCAUCAGCAACACAAGCCACACCGAAAUCAACGAGACACACUCAAGACUGGCAACAUCGGGCUGCUUCUGGAAUGAUUGAGAAGCAAUUCAAACCUGUGGCAGGAAAAUCAUGUUAAAAUGGAGCGCCGCAUUGCAAGGAAUUUCUUUCAGUAGGACACAAACCCACCGAGGUUUUUCCCCAAUAAUCAAAUCAACAGAACACAGAAUAUUUCAUUACAAAACGGCCGCUUUCAAGUAUGAUGACACCCGAUGUGAAAAAACUCAACUCGACAGGGAAAAGGGGUCAAAUGUGUAAUCUGUUUUUGUGGAAAUAACUAGUUUUGCUGUAAUUAAAUCAUAACAGUGUUUAAGAGUUCCAAAGCUUGACAGAGAAAGGGAAACAAGGCAACGCCUUUUCUACCUCACCAGGUCACAGUUGGCUCCGGAGUUUGAAUGUCGUGACUUCACUGAAUCCAAAAUCCGCCCACAAUUAGGGAUCUGAUAGGAUUUCCCUAUCAGAUGUGUCCAGUAUAGAAUCCCCGUCACAAAGGGUGCACAUAUCAAGCUGCCUUUUUAAAAAAUGUAUUCAUGCAGAGGAAUAAAUCCUGUGAUCAAAAUUGGGGAACAAGCUAGAAGGCCAUGACUAAUCCUGAUAACAAUGUAAAACUUAAAAGUUUAAAAAGUCAGGUUUGGGGUGAAUGUUUUUUAUGGAUGGGAAAGGUUUUAGUUGCUCUAUGCUAAAGUUGACACAUGUUUUCAGAGUUCUAAAUGGAGAUUGGUUAUUCUUGCUGGUGAGGUGAAGAGGAUUACAGGAGGUGCAAUAAAUAUACUUUUCAAUAGAUUUGAAGAGGGAUUUCCUGGAGCGUUUCCCUACUUCUGAAAGUCUAACUGAUUCAAAUCCAAUACUGUUUGGAAAGGUUCUAUUUAUUUAUGAAAGUUUUAUUUGUAAAUAUGUGGGGUUACAUUUUAAAAUACAUUGGGUUUAUUAAGAAAAUCAUAUUAAUUGUAUGUAUUUUGAGUUAAUUGAGUUGAUCGCAUAAACCUAAUCGUUAUGAAUAUCAGAAAUAAGCUCUAUUAACAGUGAAUACAAACACAUGUUUAUCAAUUUAAAACAAACUGGCUCAUUCAUGGUAAAAGCAUAUACCAAUUUAUUGUAUAUUUAAAACUCAUUUGGCUUACUGGUAUUUUUUUAAAUAAAUGUAAUUCUUACUUGGUUGUUACUUGAAGUUAUUUUGACCAGCAAAUGUAAUUAUCACUUAAAAUGUAAUUCCAAUGGAUGGACAUUUUAUAUGCAAAUGAAUACAUACGUCUUAAUUAUUAGGCCUAUGUAUUUAUUUGCGUUGAAUGUAUUUAACAAUAAGGUAAUUUUAAAAAUGAAACUAUAACCUGGCAAGCGGAGAGUAUAUAAAUCAGUUUCCCCUCACUAUGCGAGAGCAUAAGAAACUAAACUCUUUAUUAAAGGAGAAGGAAAAGUGCAG
ensembl:lncRNA